UGAACGACUCUCGGCAACGGAURUCUCGGCUCUUGCAUCGAUGAAGAACGUAGCGAAAUGCGAUACUUGGUGUGAAUUGCAGAAUCCCGUGAACCAUCGAGUCUUUGAACGCAAGUUGCGCCCGAGGCCUUCUGGUCGAGGGCACGUCUGCCUGGGCGUCACGC
rnacentral:rRNA from 1 species